CAUUCACGGAGAGUUUGAUCCUGGCUCAGGACGAACGCUGGCGGCGUGCUUAACACAUGCAAGUCGAACGAUGAACCACUUCGGUGGGGAUUAGUGGCGAACGGGUGAGUAACACGUGGGCAAUCUGCCCUUCACUCUGGGACAAGCCCUGGAAACGGGGUCUAAUACCGGAUACGACACUCUCGGGCAUCCGAUGAGUGUGGAAAGCUCCGGCGGUGAAGGAUGAGCCCGCGGCCUAUCAGCUUGUUGGUGAGGUAACGGCUCACCAAGGCGACGACGGGUAGCCGGCCUGAGAGGGCGACCGGCCACACUGGGACUGAGACACGGCCCAGACUCCUACGGGAGGCAGCAGUGGGGAAUAUUGCACAAUGGGCGAAAGCCUGAUGCAGCGACGCCGCGUGAGGGAUGACGGCCUUCGGGUUGUAAACCUCUUUCAGCAGGGAAGAAGCGAAAGUGACGGUACCUGCAGAAGAAGCGCCGGCUAACUACGUGCCAGCAGCCGCGGUAAUACGUAGGGCGCGAGCGUUGUCCGGAAUUAUUGGGCGUAAAGAGCUCGUAGGCGGUCUGUCGCG
rnacentral:rRNA from 1 species